rnacentral:rRNA from 1 species
GAUGAACGCUGGCGGCGUGCCUAAUACAUGCGAGUCGAGCGAACGGACGAGAAGCUUGCUUCUCUGAUGUUAGCGGCGGACGGGUGAGUAACACGUGGAUAACCUACCUAUAAGACUGGGAUAACUUCGGGAAACCGGAGCUAAUACCGGAUGAUAUUUUGAACCGCAUGGUUCAAAAGUGAAAGACGGUCUUGCUGUCACUUAUAGAUGGAUCCGCGCUGCAUUAGCUAGUUGGUAAGGUAACGGCUUACCAAGGCAACGAUGCAUAGCCGACCUGAGAGGGUGAUCGGCCACACUGGAACUGAGACACGGUCCAGACUCCUACGGGAGGCAGCAGUAGGGAAUCUUCCGCAAUGGGCGAAAGCCUGACGGAGCAACGCCGCGUGAGUGAUGAAGGUCUUCGGAUCGUAAAACUCUGUUAUUAGGGAGGAACAUAUGUGUAAGUAACUGUGCACAUCUUGACGGUACCUAAUCAGAAAGCCACGGCUAACUACGUG